GUGUGGGAAUACUGAAGCGAGAGUAUAAGUAUUUAUUAGAGAAUAAAGGUACCGAGCGUGACCAACAAAAAAAAUUACUCAGAUGUUUCUCACUUAUCAGGGACUUUCUCGAUGCUGUAAUAGUGUGACUAGUUCUUUGAUCUACAGUGCUUCGGUUAUAUACAAUAGAAUUACUAUAGUUUGACUGUAUAAAUACUUGAUCUCCUAGCCACACUACGAGAAAAAAAAUAUUAACGAUGGCUAUUAGUGACGGC
rnacentral:lncRNA from 1 species